rnacentral:pre_miRNA from 1 species
AGUGGGAUAGCUGGGUCAAAUGGUGAUUCCAUUCCAAGUUUUUUAAAAAAUCUCUAUGCUACUUUCUGGAUUGGCUGCACCAAUUUGCAGUCCCACCAGCAAU